ensembl:lncRNA
GGAGGUUCUGUCACAGAGCUUGUCAAAGGCCUGCUGAAGUGUGGCCAACGGUUGGAUGAAUCUAUAAUCUCAUACAUCUUAUGUGGUGCUCUCUUGGGCCUUCAGCAUUUACACAAUAACCGGAUCAUUCAUCGUGAUGUGAAAGGGAACAACAUUCUCCUGACAACAGAAGGUGGAGUCAAGCUCGUUGACUUUGGUGUUUCAGCCCAGCUCACCAGCACACGGCUGCGUAGAAACACCUCCGUGGGAACACCCUUUUGGAUGGCACCUGAGGUCAUUGCUUGUGAACAACAGUAUGACUACUCAUACGAUGCGCGAUGUGACGUAUGGUCCUUGGGAAUAACAGCUAUUGAACUGGGGGAUGGAGAUCCUCCUUUAUUUGACAUGCAUCCGGUGAAAACCCUUUUUAAGAUUCCAAGGAAUCCUCCUCCUACUUUGCUACAUCCUGAAAAAUGGUGCAGAGGAUUCAACCAUUUCAUUUCACAGUGUCUUAUCAAGGAUUUUGAAAAGCGUCCUUCAGUCACCCAUCUUUUGGAGCAUCCAUUUAUUAAACAAGUACAUGGUAAAGAUAUGUCUCUGCAAAAGCAGCUGGCUGAGCUAAUCCAAGAACAGCAGCAACUAGGCUCCAUAGCCAAAACAAGGCAUGAACGAAUACAUACUAGAAGACCUUACCAUGUGGAUGGAGCUGACAGGUACUCUCUAGAUGACGAUCUGGUAAAUCUGGAAGUUCUAGAUGAGGAUACAAUUAUCCAUCAGCUGCAGAAACGCUAUGCUGACUUACAAAUUUAUACUUAUGUUGGAGACAUUUUAAUAGCCUUAAACCCCUUCCAGAAUCUCAGCAUUUAUUCUCCCCAGUUCUCCAAGCUUUACCAUGGUGUGAAGCGUUCAUCAAAUCCCCCCCACAUAUUUGCCUCUGCAGAUGCUGCCUACCAAAGUAUGGUUACCUUCAGCAAAGAUCAGGCCAAUAACCGUGCUUUGCGUGAGAAAAUUCUUCAGGUGAAUCCUCUGGUUGAAGCAUUUGGGAAUGCCUGCACUGCCAUCAAUGACAACUCAAGUCGCUUCGGAAAAUACCUGGAAAUGAUGUUUACACCUACAGGAGCUGUAAUGGGGGCAAAGAUUUCUGAAUAUCUACUUGAAAAAUCAAGGGUCAUAAAACAGGCUGUGGGAGAAAAAAAUUUCCAUAUAUUUUAUUAUAUUUAUGCUGGCCUUUAUCACCAGAGGAAACUUUCUGAAUAUAGACUUCCCGAUAAAAAGCCUCCUAGAUAUAUUGAUAAUGAAACUGGAAGAGUCAUGCAUGAUAUUGUUACUAAAGAUUCCUAUGGAAGACAGUUUGAAGCAAUUCAGCAUUGUUUUAGAAUUAUAGGAUUCACUGACGAGGAAGUGUACUCAGUGUACAGAAUUCUGACUGGAAUCUUAAAUACUGGAAAUAUUGAGUUUGCUGCCAUUUCUUCACAACACCAAACAGAUAAAAGUGAGGUUCCCAACCCAGAAGCCUUAGAUAAUGCUGCUGCACUACUAAGUAUUGGGUCAGAAGAACUUCAAGAGGCCCUAACCUCCCAUUGUGUUGUAACACGAGGGGAGACUAUUAUCCGAACAAACACAGUGGACAAAGCAGCUGACGUGCGAGAUGCCAUGUCUAAAGCACUUUAUGGCCGGCUCUUCAGCUGGAUCGUAAAUCGUAUUAAUACGCUGCUUCAGCCAGAUAAAAAUAUAUGCAAUGCUGAAAAUGGGAUGAAUGUUGGAAUACUAGACAUAUUUGGAUUUGAGAACUUCGCAAGAAAUUCCUUUGAACAGCUGUGCAUAAAUAUUGCUAAUGAACAGAUCCAGUUUUAUUUCAAUCAACAUAUCUUUGCACUUGAGCAGAUGGAAUAUCAGAGUGAGGGAAUUGAUGCUGCUACAGUGGAGUAUGAGGACAACCGUCCACUUCUAGAUAUGUUCCUCCAGAAACCCAUGGGUCUCCUGUCUCUACUAGAUGAAGAAAGUCGAUUUCCUCAGGCAACAGACCUAACUUUAGUUGAUAAAUUUGAAGAUAACUUACGAUGCAAAUACUUUUGGAGACCAAAAGGAGUAGAACUGUCAUUUGGUAUUCAGCACUAUGCUGGAAAGGUUUUAUAUGAUGCCUGUGCAUUCCUUGAGAAGAACAGAGACACUCUUCCUGCUGAUGUAGUAGUGGUGUUGCGAACCUCAGAGAACAAACUUCUUCAGCAGCUGUUCUCUAGCCCAUUAACAAAAACAGGUAACUUGGCACAAGCAAGAGCCAGAGUGACAGCAGCAUCUAGGUCUUUGCCUCUACAGCUUAGUACUGGGCGUAUCAAGUCUCCUAAAUAUCUCCUGAAGGUUGACACAAUGGAAGUUAUGCGACACCCUGAGGAAACAACUAACAUGAAGCGGCAAACUAUGGCUUCUUAUUUUAGGUAUUCCCUCAUGGAUCUUUUAUCCAAAAUGGUUGUUGGACAGCCUCACUUUAUCCGCUGCAUUAAACCUAAUGAUGAUCGAGAAGCACUGAUGUUUUCUCAUGAGAGAGUUCUACUGCAGCUACAAUACACUGGAAUUCUGGAAACUGUCAAAAUACGUCAAAAAGGGUAUUCUCAUCGCAUCCUCUUUGAAGAGUUUGUGAAAAGGUAUUAUUACCUUGCAUUCAAGGCACACGAGACUCCCCUUGGUAGCAGAGAAAAUUGCCUUGCCAUUUUGGAGAAAUCUAAACUAGACAACUGGAUUCUUGGGAAAACCAAGGUUUUUCUAAAGUAUUAUCAUAUAGAGCAGUUAAACUUGUUCCUGCGAGAAGUUAUAGGGAGGGUGGUGGUCAUGCAAGCCUAUAUCAAGGGAUGGCUUGGAGCAAGGAGGUACAAGAAAGUCAAAGAGAAAAGAGAAAAUAGUGCUGUUACCAUACAGUCAGCCUGGAGAGGAUAUGAAGCUCGCAGGAAGUACAAGGAAAUAAGGAACAGAAGAACUGAUGCUGCUAUACAUAUUCAAGCAGCUUUCAGGGGAUACAUUGUUCGUAAAAACUACACAAGAUUGAAAACCAGCACUGCCUGUGUAGCAGAUCCUCAACUAACGAGCAGUUGCUUUACUUCUGAUUUUGGCUGUGAAGAGCACUGGCAGCAAACCAGUAACCUGUCUUUUCCUGACGUGCCUGAUUUUCUUCGCAAACAAACAAAAAAGAAGGAUUUGGAUGAGAUUUCUGCUUCUCCAUUUAUUCGAAAACAUUCGUUGGAAAUGAAUGAUUCACAAUCAAUUAGCCAACCCCAGUCAGUUGCAGACCAUCAGUUGUCAAGUCCCUUGAGAUCCCAUCAAAAAGGAGGUUCAGAAAACUGUCUUGAACAGAAGCUGAGAACACCUCGUCGACGAUGUCAGCAGCCCAAAAUGCUGAAUAGCCCUGAGGACAACAUGUACUAUAACCAGUUAAACGGAACUCUAGAAUAUCAAGGGAGCAAGAGGAAGCCAAGAAAACUUGGCCAAAUCAAAGUGCUGGAUGGAGACGAUGAGUAUUACAAAUCAUUGUCAGCCAUUGAAUCUGUCCCUGAAGAUGACAGCUUUCUCAGUUCCCCAUCUUCUUCAAGAGGUGUGUCUUUUGCUCAAAGCUGAACCUCACUUACUCUAUUGACCAAUACUGGUAAGAGUAUUUUCAUGCUGGUAAUCUCUUCCAAUUAACUUUGUGUGUGUGUGUUUAUAUAUAUAUUAAAUAUAUAUUAAAAAUACAUCUAUUAAAAAUACAGUUUCAGCUAGUAACUUUCUUUCACUAAUUUAUACCUUACUUCGCAGCUGUAAAUUGUCCCGUUUAGCUGUAUCUCUAUAAGCAAUUCCACUAAAGGGGAGGAGCACUACCUGCAUGUGUUGAUGUUGGUAACGGACACAUUUCUUUAGCAGCCAGGUUAGUUUAUACAGUUCCGACCCCUUCUUCCCUGCUCCCCCUGCCCCUGGCUGCUGUUCCCACCCUGUGCCAUCCCUUCUGUUGUGCUGGCACAACUGCUGGUAGAGCUGUGUGAAAAAUAAGAUCAAGGAAUUGAACUGGAUUAAAAGAACUCUGUACUAAAAAUUUGUGUUUGGAAUCAUAGUAAAAAUGUUUUUUAUUUCAGUAGACUGGUAUUAAACAUUAUCCUUUGUAAGUUUCUGUGCUGUGUAUGGCUUUUAACACUACAAAAACAUACAGAGUAAAAUAAUCUGAAAUAAUAAUUGUGUCUCAAUUUACCUUGUCAGUAUUUUUCUUAUAAAGUAUUAGUUUGCCAUAAAUUUAACUUGAAG